CAGUAGCCGCGGGAAUACGUAGGGUGCGAGCGUUAAUCGGAAUUACUGGGCGUAAAGCGUGCGCAGGCGGUUCGUUAAGUCUGUUGUGAAAGCCCCGGGCUCAACCUGGGAAUGGCAAUGGAUACUGGCGAGCUAGAGUGUGUCAGAGGAUGGUGGAAUUCCCGGUGUAGCGGUGAAAUGCGUAGAGAUCGGGAGGAACAUCAGUGGCGAAGGCGGCCAUCUGGGACAACACUGACGCUGAGGCACGAAAGCGUGGGGAGCAAACAGGAUUAGAUACCCCUGUAGUCCCUGUCUCUUAUAC
rnacentral:rRNA from 1 species